rnacentral:rRNA from 1 species
UGGUGGAGUGAUUUGUCUGGUUAAUUCCGUUAACGAACGAGACCUCAGCCUGCUAACUAGUUGGACGAAUUUUUAAUUCGCACCAACUUCUUAGAGGGACUAUCGGUUCUGAGCCGAAGGAAGUUUGAGGCAAUAACA